rnacentral:rRNA from 1 species
GACGGAGGGUGCGAGCGUUGUUCGGAAUUACUGGGCGUAAAGCGCGCGCAGGUGGGUGCGUAAGUCGGAGGUGAAAGCGCAGGGCUCAACCCUGCGACGCCCUUCGAGACUGCGUGUCUAGGGACCGGUAGAGGUGAGUGGAAUUCCCGGUGUAGCGGUGGAAUGCGUAGAUAUCGGGAAGAACACCGGAGGCGAAGGCGGCUCACUGGGCCGGAUCCGACACUGAGGCGCGAAAGCGUGGGGAGCAAAC